rnacentral:rRNA from 1 species
AUUGAACGCUGGCGGCAGGCCUAACACAUGCAAGUAGAACGCGUGGCGGACGGGUGAGUAAUGUCUGGGAAACUGCCCGAUGGAGGGGGAUAACUAAUGGAAACGGUAGCUAAUCCCGCAUACCAUCGGAUGUGCCCAGAUGGGAUUAGCUAGUAGGUGGGGUAACGGCUCACCUAGGCGACGAUCCCUAGCUGGUCUGGGAGGUGGACCAGCGCCCAUGGAACUUAGACACGUUCCACACUCCUACGGGAGGCAGCUGUGGGGAAUAUUGCACAAUGGGCGCAAGCGUGGUGCAGCCAUGCCGCGUGUAUGAAGAAGGCCUUCGGGUUGUAAAGUACUUUCAGCGAGGAGGCGUUACUCGCAGAAUAAGCACCGGCUAACUCCGUGCCAGCGGCCGAGGUAAUUC